rnacentral:tRNA from 3 species
GCGGAUGUGGCGGAACUGGCAGACGCGCUAGAUUCAGGUUCUAGUCCUCGAUAAGGGGGUGGAGGUUCAAAUCCUCUCAUCCGCA